UAGGGAAUUUUCCACAAUGGGCGAAAGCCUGAUGGAGCAACGCCGCGUGCAGGAUGAAGGCCUUCGGGUUGUAAACUGCUUUUAAUAGUGAAGAUUAUGACGGUAACUAUUGAAUAAGGGUCGGCUAACUCCGUGCCAGCAGCCGCGGUCAUACGGAGGACCCAAGCGUUAUCCGGAAUUACUGGGCGUAAAGAGUUGCGUAGGUGGCAGAGUAAGUUGGUAGUGAAAGCGUGUGGCUCAACCAUACAUCCAUUACCAAAACUGCUCAGCUUGAGGGCGAGAGAGGUAGAUGGAAUUCCCAGUGUAGGAGUGAAAUCCGUAGAUAUUGGGAGGAACACCGAUGGCGUAAGCAGUCUACUGGCUCGUUCCUGACACUAAGGCACGAAAGCGUGGGGAGCAAACGGGAUUAGAUACCCCGGUAGUCC
rnacentral:rRNA from 1 species